AACGAAUCUCUUUUAGAGAUGAGUGGCGAACGGGUGAGUAAUACAUAGGUAACCUGCCCCUGUGCGGGGGAUAACAGGAGGAAACUCCUGCUAAUACCGCAUAGCCAUGAGCACCGCAUGGAGCUCAUGCCAAAUAUCCUUUCGGGGAUAGCGCAGGGAUGGACCUAUGGCGCAUUAGCUGGUUGGCGGGGCAACGGCCCACCAAGGCAACGAUGCGUAGCCGGCCUGAGAGGGCGGACGGCCACAUUGGGACUGAGACACGGCCCAGACUCCUACGGGAGGCAGCAGUAGGGAAUUUUCGGCAAUGGGGGAAACCCUGACCGAGCAACGCCGCGUGAGCGAAGAAGGCCUUCGGGUCGUAAAGCUCUGUUGUAAAGGAAGAACGGCGCAUACAGGAAAUGGUAUGCGAGUGACGGUACUUUACCAGAAAGCCACGGCUAACUACGUGCCAGCAGCCGCGGUAAUACGUAGGUGGCGAGCGUUAUCCGGAAUCAUUGGGCGUAAAGAGGGAGCAGGCGGCCGCAAGGGUCUGUGGUGAAAGCCCGAAGCUAAACUUCGGUAAGCCAUGGAAACCGGGCGGCUAGAGUGCGGAAGAGGAUCGUGGAAUUCCAUGUGUAGCGGUGAAAUGCGUAGAUAUAUGGGAGGAACACCAGUGGCGAAGGCGACGGUCUGGGCCGCAACUGACGCUCAUUCCCGAAAGCGUGGGGAGC
rnacentral:rRNA from 1 species